rnacentral:rRNA from 1 species
UACGAAGGGGGCUAGCGUUGCUCGGAAUCACUGGGCGUAAAGGGUGCGUAGGCGGGUCUUUAAGUCAGGGGUGAAAUCCUGGAGCUCAACUCCAGAACUGCCUUUGAUACUGAUGGACUAGAGUACGGUAGAGGGUGGCGGAACUCCGGGUGUAGCGGUGAAAUGCGUAGAUAUCCGGAAGAACACCGAUGGCGAAGGCAACCACCUGGGCCUGUACUGACGCUGAGGAGCGAAAGCGUGGGGAGCAAACAGG